AGUCAUCCAAAGAGAUUUCACAGAAAUUUUGAACCAGGUGGCCAAUGAGCACCAGAGUUGAUAGGCAUGACAAGAGGUCCAAGGAUGCCAGUAACAUAGGUCUGUCUGGAAAGGCUCAUCUAGAAAUGAUGAAAGCUGACAUCUGUCCAGCCUUGCCUUUCUGGGAUCUGCAAAGCUAUAGGUACUAAAAGUCUUCUGCCUGAAGAUUCAGCUCUGCUCCACCUUUGAGGUAACCCAUGCUGAGGCAGGCCAUAUAUAUCCAGUUCAGACCAGCCCUACCUCCCAUGGCCCGUGGGUCUGGAAUUCAUCUUUUUGCCAUUGGCUAACUGGGCACCUGGAGCCUCACCAAAUCAUAGGCUUCUCCCCUAAAAUAUAAAUACAUGUUUGUCUAAUCUGGCACAAUCCCUUGAAAUUGUGCAAUUAUCUUUUGCUGGUCACAAAGCAACAUAAGUGUUGACUCUUCUCACAUGGUUCACUACGUUAUUCCUAAACCAUUUGUCAAAGACCGUGCCUCACAUUACAUUUCAUUCCACCUGUAAUCCUCCUGUGCUCAGGCCUUGUUUACUUAUUCUCUUUUCUGCCCUCACUACUUCCUUCAAAUUUGACUUCUGAAACUCUCGUUGGCCUUCCUUCAACCAUAGGUUGGUUAAAUUCUCCUUCCUGCUUCCCUGACCUAAAAUCAUCUUUCCCAUCCCACUUGGCUCCAGAAAAUCCUGUCUCUAAGUUAAGCCAUAUGGAAAGCUUAUCUCCCUGCACUUAGCAAAUAGAAACCAAGGCUGAGUGUCUCAUUGGCCCUCCAGUUUUCCUCUUCGGGCUAGUGUCCUGCCUUGAAUUUUAGGCUGCUUGGAUAGAGUCCAGAUACGUUAUCUAACAUUUAGCAAAUGCCAAAUCCAGUUCCCUGUAAUUCUCUAGCCACCAACCUAGGCCUUACUUUUGCCCAGACAAACUUCCCAGAAAGGAUCUAAGGUACUCAGGUAUACUUUCUGACUAGACACUUCUAUUGCUAUGCCAACCAUUCUGAUGUGAGUAAUAGCAAUUGACGGUGUUCUGUUUCCUAUUCCUGGCCCCCUUAUAACCAGUUGUGUUCAAUGAGCUGUGAGAAAUGGUGGGUGUUAUUCCUGGACCAAGUUUUCUUGUCAUCAGUGCACAAAUCCCCAGAGCUUUCUUUUCUGCUACAGUACAACUCACAGUUUUCCAGAUGGGGAUUCUCCCUCAGCCUGGGGUCCAGAAUGAGGAUGACUGGUACCCAACUAGCUAACAAUGAACAUGUAGCUUGAGUGAGGCAUAAACUUUUGUUGUGGAAAACACUGAGAUUUUAAGGUUGUUUCUUACCUCAGCAUAAUCUAUCCUUACUGAUACACUCCGUACUGUUUGAGCCACACUGACCCAUAUGAGGCUGACUUUGCCAUGAUCAGAACAGCAGGCUCAGUCUUGCGUAGGGAAAGACUUAUCGCUCAAUUAAUCCCCUUGGUCUGUGCUCUGAACAACCAACCCAUCAUGCUUCCUUUUCAAGCAUGCCCUGAAUGCUCAAUCUCCCAGGAAAUCAGCAGGACACCCUCUUACCUUACUCCAAGCCGGGAUUUCCCAAUAGCAGCUUACAUGAUGUUUAUUUCCUCUAUAAGAAAUAUAGAGACUGGCCGUCAUCAAGUCAACUUGCAGAUUCAAUCACUGCAUCAAAGAUCCAAGUGCUUUUUCCUUCUCUUCCCCUAGCCUUGACCUAAAGUGCGUGACUUUCUGAUUGCAAGAUGCUGCAACCUUUAGAGGCAUCUAUUUUUCAGGUAACAGCAUCCAAGGCAUAAUAAGACCUUCUCUGUAUGCCAUCUUUUUUCCCCUUAGGUCUCACUAGCCAGAUUGUGCAUUGCUGCCAUUAGGGACUGCCAAGACUGGCCUGGAGACCUGAUGAUGCACCGAGACUGGGCCUGCUGCUAUUCCAGUGAAAUCAGGUUCUGUCAUAACAGAUUUUCCUUGGGAGAAAAGAGCCAUGGUCAACUAAGUUUGGGACACAGAUUUUAUUUGAGAGUCAGAAGCAUAAGUGGCAAUAAGGACUCUGAGAGCAAGAGAAAUGUGAGCUGUAACUUCACUGGGGCAGCAAGAGACCAUAAUUAUCACACGGACAGCAAGAUACUAAGGAGUUGACCCUGCAAACUGCAUCAUCCAGGAUCUUUUUGCCCUCUGGCUUCCAGCGUGGUUCAGCCGACAAGAGGUAACCUCUCUCCACCGCCGCAAUGCCAAGAGCCUAAUGGUAGCUCCCUCUAUAACUACAGCUUCUGAUGGGCAGCAGCCUUCCAUAGCACUGGCUCAUGCCAGUCUCCCAAAAUAUUGCUGCCUCCCCUCACCUAAGAGUAGUAACAGCUUCUGGAUGCCUGGCGCCUCUCAUCACUUGUUGGUUUCCUCAACUGCAUCCAUACUUCUAGAAAUAGCCCAUUAAAUUCUCAUCAGAAUCCAACAGGAGAAUGUACAGUAUUCUGUUUCUGGCCAGGCCCCUGACUGAUAAAAUAAAUAUUUAUAAUAAGGUAGAGAGGGAGGGAAUAGAGUCCCAGUUUUGAGCCCCUACUAUAGGCCAAGCACAGGCACUGUUUAUAAAGAUAUUCAAUAAAUGCUGAUAAAUCUGAACAAAGGGGUAUGAGAGAGGAUAAAAAAAAAACAGAUGUCACAAGAAUUUGAGACACAGGAAUCAGAUCCUUUGCAUCAGAUGACCCCCUUUCCCUAAUAUGGAAUGUGAACAGAAGAAAGAAACUCAGGAUUGAUUUAGUCUGGACAACAACAAAAUGCUAGCAUGUAUUAAGAUGUAAAAUAUCGUUCUCAGUUUUAAUGCAAUUCAAAGAGAAAUGAUGUGGCAAGUGCAUGAUUUUUCUCUCUGCCAUUUAAUAUAGUUGGGUAUAUAGUGGACGCGAGUGGGUAUAACAUCAUUAAUGGAAUGACUAGUAUUCUCAAAUGCCUAGCCACUUUUUGGAAUGAUUUACAAUUUUCUUUUUUUUACACGUUUAUUUAUUUUUGAGACAGAGUGUGAACA